rnacentral:rRNA from 1 species
GAUGAACGCUAGCGGGAGGCCUAACACAUGCAAGCCGAGCGGUAAAGAUACUUUCGGGUAUUUGAGAGCGGCGUACGGGUGCGGAACACGUGUGCAACCUGCCUUUAUCUAGAGGAUAGCCUUUCGAAAGGAAGAUUAAUACUCUAUAAUAUAUUAAUUGGCAUCAAUUGAUAUUGAAAACUCCGGUGGAUAGAGAUGGGCACGCGCAAGAUUAGCUAGUUGGUGAGGUAACGGCUCACCAAGGCAAUGAUCUUUAGGGGGCCUGAGAGGGUGAUCCCACACACUGGUACUGAGACACGGACCAUACUCCUACAGGAGGCAGCAGUGAGGAAUAUUGGUCAAUGGAUGCAAGCCUGAACCAGCUAUCCCGCGUGAAGGAUGAAGGUCCUAUGGAUUGUAAACUUCUUUUGUAUAGGGAUAAACCUACCCUCGUGAGGGUAGCUGAAGGUACUAUACGAAUAAGCACCGGCUAACUCCGUGCCAGCCGCCGCGGUAAGAC